UGGCUCAGGAUGAACGCUAGCGGGAGGCUUAACACAUGCAAGUCGAGGGGCAGCACGAGGUAGCAAUACUUUGGUGGCGACCGGCGCACGGGUGAGUAACGCGUAUGUAACCUACCCUGUACAGGGGGAUAGCCCGGAGAAAUUCGGAUUAAUACCCCAUAAAGAUAUUUAGAGGCAUCUUUAGAUAUUUAAAGUUUCGACGGUACGGGAUGGGCAUGCGUGACAUUAGCUAGUUGGUAAGGUAACGGCUUACCAAGGCUGCGAUGUCUAGGGGUCCUGAGAGGGUGAUCCCCCACACUGGUACUGAGACACGGACCAGACUCCUACGGGAGGCAGCAGUGAGGAAUAUUGGUCAAUGGGCGCAAGCCUGAACCAGCCAUCCCGCGUGCAGGAAGAAGGCGCUAUGCGUCGUAAACUGCUUUUCCAGGGGAAGAAAACCUGAUACGUGUAUCGGCUUGCCGGUACCCUGGGAAUAAGCAUCGGCUAACUCCGUGCCAGCAGCCGCGGUAAUACGGAGGAUGCGAGCGUUAUCCGGAUUUAUUGGGUUUAAAGGGUGCGUAGGCGGAUUAAUAAGUCAGUGGUGAAAACCUUCAGCUUAACUGGAGACUUGCCAUUGAUACUGUUAGUCUUGAGUACGGUCAAGGUAGGCGGAAUGUGUAAUGUAGCGGUGAAAUGCUUAGAUAUUACACAGAACACCGAUUGCGAAGGCAGCUUACUGGGCCAUUACUGACGCUGAUGCACGAAAGCGUGGGGAGCGAACAGGAUUAGAUACCCUGGUAGUCCACGCCGUAAACGAUGAUCACUCGCUGUUAGCGAUACACAGUUAGCGGCUAAGCAAAAGCAUUAAGUGAUCCACCUGGGGAGUACGGCCGCAAGGCUGAAAACUCAAU
rnacentral:rRNA from 1 species